UCCAGUCGAUGCUGCUGGCGGGCACUGCUCUCAGAUUUCGACAGCCAUGCAAGUCAGCCCUGUGGCUUCAUAGGGCGGCGUACGGCUCAGUAACGCGUAGUCAACCUAACGUAAAGAAGGGGAUACCCUUGGGAAACUGAGGCUAAUACCCUAUAGGCUAGGGAUUCUGGAAGGAGCCUUAGCUGAAAGGUACGCAAAAUGCAGCGCAACCACUUUACGAUGGGACUGCGUCGGAUCAGGCAGAUGGCGGGGUAAAGGCCCACCAUACCUUUGACCCGUAGGGGACAUGUGAGUGUGAGCCCCGAGAAGGACACUGAGACAAGGGUCCUAGCGCUACGGCGUGCAGCAGGCGCGCAAACUCCACAAUGCGCGUAAGCGUGAUGGGGGAAGUCUGAGUGGUGCACUUCGGUGCACCUUUUGCCAAGUAUAGCAAGCUUGGAGAAUAAGUGCUGGGUAAGACCGGUGGCAGCCGCCACGGUAAUACCGGCGGCACGAGUGGUGUCCUCGAUUAUUGGGCUUAAAGCGUCAGUAGCUGGCCGGAAUGGUCUUUUGUGAAAUAUAGCUGCUCAACAGCUAUGCUGGCAUAAGAUACCUUUCGGCUAGGGAGUGGGCGAGGUCGAGAGUACUUAUGGGGUAGGGGUAAAAUCCUGUAAUCCUAUAAGGACUACCGGUGGCGAAGGCGCUCGACCAGAACAUAUCCGACAGUGAGUGACGAAGGCUAGGAGAACGAAUCGGAUUAGAUACCCGAGUAGCCCUAGCAGUAAAUUAUGCAGACUCUGGUGUUGCACUUUCUACAGGAAUGUGCAGUACCGUAGCAAAAGUGUUAAGUCUGCCGCCUGGGGAGUACGGUCGCAAGAUUGAAACUUAAAGCAAUUGGCGGGGGAGCACACCAGGGGUGGAUGCUACGGUCUAAUUGAAUCCAACGUCAGGAACAUUACCUGGAGCGACGGCAGAAUGAAGGUCAGGCUAAAGACCUUACUAGACAAGCCGAGAGGUGGUGCAUGGCGAUCGUCAGUUCGUGGUGUAAACUGUCCGGUUAAGUCCGGUAAGCAACCGAGUGGUGCUAUGAGAAUAAAACUAAAACCAGAAAUUUGUUAUGUGGCAGGUAUAUACAGCAAAGGUGAUUCUAGCAGCAGCAAGAUAGAGCUGCGCACGGAAAGCAGUGCUGUAGAGGAGCGCUUUAUAGAGAUAGCAAUAAAGAGCCUAGGCAUAUUGCCAGAAAGGGUGAUUGCCGAAGGCACAAGAAAGCGCAACAUAUACUUCUACCAUUCAAAGAUGGCAAAGCAGCUGAGAUAUAUAAUAAGCAACGAGACAAGGCUCUUCAAAAAGAGAGAUGCAAAUGCCGCAAGCUUUGUGGCGGGAAUGUUUGACGCCGCAGGGCGUGUAAGCAACGGCAUGCUUUCAAUAGAAGGGCUUACAGGCAGCGACCAAGUUAUGCU
rnacentral:rRNA from 1 species